rnacentral:lncRNA from 1 species
GUUAAUGUGAUAAUCCGGCCCACUAAGCCCAGUAAACAAAAAAAAAAAUAGAACGGAGAGGAAGACUCCCGAUCGGAGUCUUCCUCUUCCCCGAUUCCGAUCAAGAAUCAGAGUCCUAGGGCCAUUAAAAGACCCUAGGACGAGCUCUAUAAGAACCCCCUCCUCUCCUCUAAAAGUAGAUCCAUCAGCCACCGACGAUCGCCGGAG